AUCCAUCGGAUUGGGUGUUUUAUCGACACUCCACAUUUGAAUAGAUUACAAGAGGAGCGCGCAACAAGUUCUUAUCCCAUACGUGCCAAUUUUACAUCACCGUGUGUGAAGUUAGUAACUGUUAAAAAGCUUUUAGAAUGAAACAAAAAAAACUAGUCGCUCACGAUAAAUGAAACAGUAGAGUGGCAUAUCAAACAAAUUGAUUUUCAAUUAACUAUUGAACCCACUUCGUCGCAUGCAGUUCUCUUUUGGAAAACAAUUUGUUCCGGUCAUGCUGUGUUCAGAUUUCAUCUGCCGUCUGUCGACGGCGUUGUCUCUGUUUGUUUUUCUUCGCACUCUGAUUUUUGUACUGUGGCAUGUUGUUCGUGUGUAAUAAUAAUGCAGCAUCCAGUGGUUAUUCUCUCGCUGCUGUCGAAUAAACAGAACGAAAACGUUGGAAUGAAUAAUGGAAUCCAUCGAAUUUAAACACCGGAGCAAACCUCAUCAGAUGACCAUUUACGGCGAAAAGCUGUAAGCGCAAAAAAGACCGAAACCGCGGCGCCAGAAGAGUGAUUACAGUGUGUUCCAAUCAAUUAGAUUUUAUGACGGCAUGCGGGUGCACAGCGUGAUGGAUGAAAAUUCAUAAAAGUGGAUAUUUCCCUCACACUCCGGAACACGUCAGAUUCGGGAAAUGGAUUGCUUGCCGUACAACUAAGAAAACUCAGAGACAUUGUUGCAAAAGGAUACCUAUGUGAAUCGUAACGUUGCCGGUAUGUUAUGGAUAUAGUUAGCUCGAAUGAAUUGUUCAUAGUGGAUCAAAGUAAAACUAUCAACUAUACAUAUGGCCAUGGUGGUUUGAGAAGACUUUUUUAGUUCUGAAAACAGCGGUUUUAAGACUUUCAGAAAAGGAUGCGAAUCUGUUGCUUUGCGAAAUUGAUGAUGAAAGUGAGAUUCCGGGAAUGUUCCAGUUCGAACAACUAUGAGGUUUAUAUACAAUAUAGCACUGCGAUUCCGAAGCUCGCUUUUCUCAAAAGAUUUUUUUUCUACAAACACAUUUUUUGCGUACUGCUCAGAUGUACAAUAAAAUCAGCCAUACAUAUGAAUUACUCAAUAUUCAAUUAUUAACCGGAAAAAUGUGGGAAACACGAGCGUUAGUUCAUUUAAUAUUUCUUUGAUCCUAAAGCAUUUACAUCGCAGUGGAAAUAAUUUUAAUGGAGACCCGUUGUUUAUUUCAAUGAAAAAUGUGGAACGCGGAAUGUUUCAACGUAUGGUGAAACUGUGGUAUUGAAUAAAAAUUUUAUUCCACCAGUGAACUAAAAAUAAGUGACGAUGAGAUUCCAAGAAAUUUUAAAAAACCUGAAAACGCCAUGAUGCUAUUCGAUGUUGAAUUAGAUAUCAAAAAUAGAAGUUCACCAUACAUGGGAAGGAUAAACUUCAUUCAAUGAACUGUUUCGUUCAUUUCAUCACAUUUCAUCAAUACAACGAAUGUUAUGAAAAUCGUCAAUGUUAGAGAAUCGACAUUAUUAUACGAGCUUAUUAUCCACUGGCAUCAAUCGGAACUCAGUGAACGAGGAGAACACCGAGAGAAUUCCUGAAAAAGUUAGGAAGCGCUUUACAG